rnacentral:tRNA from 1 species
GUGUUCGUGGCUCAGUGGUAAAGCGACAGCCUACGAAUCGGAAGGUCUCCGGUUCAAGUCCUGCCGCUGGUCA